UUAGUCUCCUCACGGCUGUGACAGUUUCUCAGACAUUCCUUGUUUUUGACGACCUUGACAGUUCUGAGGAGGACUGGUUAGGUAUUGUGUCCAGUGUC